GACGAACGCUGGCGGCGUGCUUAACACAUGCAAGUCGAACGGAAAGGCCCUGCUUUUGUGGGGUGCUCGAGUGGCGAACGGGUGAGUAACACGUGAGUAACCUGCCCUUGACUUUGGGAUAACUUCAGGAAACUGGGGCUAAUACCGGAUAGGAGCUCCUGCUGCAUGGUGGGGGUUGGAAAGUUUCGGCGGUUGGGGAUGGACUCGCGGCUUAUCAGCUUGUUGGUGGGGUAGUGGCUUACCAAGGCUUUGACGGGUAGCCGGCCUGAGAGGGUGACCGGCCACAUUGGGACUGAGAUACGGCCCAGACUCCAACGGGAGGCAGUAGUGGGGAACAUUGCACAAUGGGCGGAAGCCUGAGGCAGCAACGCCGCGUGCGUGAUGACGGCCUUCGGGUGGUAAACCGCUUUCGCCUGUGACGAAGCGUGAGUGACGGUAAUGGGUAAAGAAGCACCGGCUAACUACGUG
rnacentral:rRNA from 1 species